AGCCACUGACUAACGCACAUUGCGCUUGUACUGGACUCCACUGUGCGUGUGACAGCGGCUAA
rnacentral:pre_miRNA from 1 species